rnacentral:lncRNA from 1 species
UAGUGAUUACAGGAUACGAAGAGCUGGACUUUGCCAAUGGAGGUGGGGGAGGGAGAUCUUCCUAGUGGGAAGAUUACCUCACGGAUCUUGUAGAGUUGUUUUGAGCUUUGAUUUUUAUCAUGAUUACUCGUUUGUCCCUCUACUUGAUGCGUCAAUCUGUUACGGUCAAUCUUCUAUUGUGCCUAUUAUCUGUGAAGAGCACCUGUAAAAUGAGGUCUACAUUGAUCGAAAUUAUGCCCGAUGGGACCCUCCGAUGCUUAAGUCAAUGAAAAGUGGUGAAUAGUAGAUGAAUAUUUAGAGAGACAGAAUUUUAGCUCCAAAACGUCCUUA